rnacentral:hammerhead_ribozyme from 1 species
AUUCAUUUGACGAGUCCCAAAUAGGACGAAACGUUAGUCUUGGAU